UCCGUAGGCGGUGUGGCAAGUCGGAAGUGAAAUCUCUGGGCUUAACUCAGAGGCUGCUUCCGAAACUGCCGUGCUAGAGUGCGAGAGAGGCAAGUGGAAUUGCGGGUGUAGCGGUGAAAUGCGUAGAUAUCCGCAGGAACAUCCGAGGCGAAAGCGGCUUGCUGGAUCGCAACUGACGCUGAGGGACGAAAGCUAGGGGAGCAAACAGGAUUAGAUACCCUGGUAGUCCUAGCCCUAAACCAUCAGGACUUGGGGUUUGCCCUGUACGGGGCAAGUCCCGUAGCUAACACGUUAAGUCCUGCGCCUGGGGAGUACGGUCGCAAGGCUGAA
rnacentral:rRNA from 1 species